rnacentral:rRNA from 1 species
UACGUAGGGUCCGAGCGUUGUCCGGAAUUAUUGGGCGUAAAGGGCUCGUAGGCGGUUUGUCGCGUCGGAAGUGAAAUCUUACAGCUUAACUGUGAACUUGCUUUCGAUACGGGCAGACUUGAGGCAUUCAGGGGAGAACGGAAUUCCUGGUGUAGCGGUGAAAUGCGUAGAUAUCUGGAGGAACACCGGUGGCGAAGGCGACAUCCUGGACCGGUAUUGACGCUGAGGCGCGAAAGCCAGGGGAGCAAACGGG